GGGUGAUGGCGUGCCUUUUGUAGAAUGAACCGGCGAGUUACGAUUUGAUGCAAGGUUAAGCAGUAAAUGUGGAGCCGUAGCGAAAGCGAGUCUGAAUAGGGCGUUUAGUAUUUGGUCGUAGACCCGAAACCAGGUGAUCUACCCUUGGUCAGGUUGAAGUUCAGGUAACACUGAAUGGAGGACCGAACCGACUUACGUUGAAAAGUGAGCGGAUGAACUGAGGGUAGCGGAGAAAUUCCAAUCGAACCUGGAGAUAGCUGGUUCUCUCCGAAAUAGCUUUAGGGCUAGCCUCAAGUGAUGAUUAUUGGAGGUAGAGCACUGUUUGGACGAGGGGCCCCUCUCGGGUUACCGAAUUCAGACAAACUCCGAAUGCCAAUUAAUUUAACUUGGGAGUCAGAACAUGGGUGAUAAGGUCCGUGUUCGAAAGGGAAACAGCCCAGACCACCAGCUAAGGUCCCAAAAUAUAUGUUAAGUGGAAAAGGAUGUGGCGUUGCCCAGACAACUAGGAUGUUGGCUUAGAAGCAGCCAUCAUUUAAAGAGUGCGUAAUAGCUCACUAGUCGAGUGACACUGCGCCGA
rnacentral:rRNA from 1 species